rnacentral:misc_RNA from 1 species
GCUAAGCUAAUGCCUUAUGGAGGCAUUCCUCUGCCCUUUUGGGGCAAGGGAAGGCCCUUUUCUUACAUGAAGAGUGGAUUUCUCCCUCCCAGCCUCUAGGUCAGAAUAUAUAUAUAUAUAUUUUCCUUUUUUAUUUUGGUUGUAGAUCUGUUAUGCUUUAAUGAGAGGGUGUUUGUUGAAGAUUUGAGAAAUGGUAGUCGACUUGUGUGUGGG